UAACCUGCCCAUAAGAGGGGGGAUAACAUCCGGAAACGGGUGCUAAUACCGCAUAGUUUUUCUUGAUCGCAUGAUCGGGAAAGGAAAGACGGCCUUUUGUGCUGUCGCUUUAUGGAUGGACCCGCGGCGUAUUAGUUAGUUGGUGAGGUAACGGCUCACCAAGACGAUGAUACGUAGCCGACCUGAGAGGGUGAUCGGCCACAUUGGGACUGAGACACGGCCCAAACUCCUACGGGAGGCAGCAGUAGGGAAUCUUCCGCAAUGGACGAAAGUCUGACGGAGCAACGCCGCGUGAGUGAAGAAGGUUUUUUCCGGAUCGUAAAACUCUGUUGUCAGAGAAGAACAAGUUGGAGAGUAACUGCUCCAGCCUUGACGGUAUCUGACCAGAAAGCCACGGCUAACUACGUGCCAGCAGCAGC
rnacentral:rRNA from 1 species